GGGUGAACAGCUGACGCUGAAAACUGCACGACGAUGCAGAGAGGAUUCAGCUCAUCAGGCGUUUUUAGCUCAGCCUCCAGAAAGUUGGGCAAUGGUGGAGGCUGCUGUAGGUGCCGGAAAACGCUCGAGGGUGACUUUGGUGAUCGAUGUCUCGUGGUUACACGAGGCUUGGUCAAGUCAAUGAACGCCUAAUGACUCUUUUUACUUGCCAUGAGCCCAGCUGGCAGAAGGUGGUGUGCUGCCAAAAUCCUCCUGUUCCUGGCAAAGGGCUUGCAACUCAUCAUCGGGGCACCUGGGGAGGCUCUGCAGCAGGACAGUGCUCUCAGCAGUGGGAUGUGCAGGAGAGAAACAGGAAUGUGGUGGAAGGGGGACAGAAAGGGGAUGGAUCCUGCUUCCUUUCCAGCUGAGUGACUGCCUUGUCCUGUUCCAGAAAAGGUGAGCUCAGUUUAACCCUUUUUUUGGUCUGGGUAGGGAAAAAAAUGUAGCUCAAACCAGAGAAGGCUGAACCAAGCAAUGGCAGCUGAAGGCAUCCCUGGAAACACACACACCCCCCUGAGGCCUGAUCCUGCCUUCCCCUGGCCAAGUCAGGCUCGGGUGCUCAGCUCCACCAGGACCGGGUCCAGGGCUGAGGAUGCAGCCGGUGCUGCGAGGCCAAGCGUGGCAGAAGGAGGGCAUUGGUAUUUAUAAACUGAUGAAAUGCGCUUGACACUUGAGGGAAGAUGCUCUCUGCUCCCUCAAGGGCUUUCGUUUGAAGGGCUUGACUCUGCCCUCCGAGAAGAUAAGACCUUCUGGCUCCCAUUAUCUCCCCAAGGGCCCUGCGUCACCCUCCUUCCUGCGUGUUGAAGCACCCAGAUCACUUCGCUGUAAUUGCUUGAGGAACGGAGGGUCCCCGGGCAGGACCUGGCACCUCUCCUGAGGGUCUGGCCUUCUGGUGCAAAGCCGGGCUGUGGGAAGGGGCUGGGUGGCACCAGCCCUUUGCUGUUCUG